CCCUCGGGCCCCAGGCGCUCUCCAAGGGCGCAGCGCCGCUCGCUGCCCGCGGCCCGGCCGUGGCCGGCGCUGCUCCUGCCCGGGGCAGGGCCCGGGGCCCGGGGCGGGUGUGUCGGGGCGGGCAGAGGCGCCGGCGCUGCCCCGGCGAGGCGGGGCCGGGCGGGAGCGGCCCGAGCGCGGCUCCGCUCGGCUCCUGUGCGGCUGCCGCGGAGCCGGGGCCGGGCACGAUGGCGGCCGGGCUGGGGCCGGGGCUGCUGGCCUUGGCCUUGGCCUGGUGGCCGGCAGGGCUCUGGGCACAGCCGAGGCUGCAGGAGGCCGGCGGAGGGCUGCGAGCGCCCGGGGACUCCGUGACCCUCUCCUGCCGCGGGUCCGGAUUCACCUUCAAGUAUUGUAAUGUUCGGUGGUACCGUCAGGCACCCAGGAGCCGGCGGGAGUGGGUGUCCGUAAUCACCGCCGACGGUACAAAGGACUACGGGUCAGCAGUGAAGGGUCGGGCCACGAUUUCCCGGGACAAUUCCCGGUCCGAGGCUUAUCUCUCAUUGCGGUCCCUGCAAGCUCAGGACUCUGCCCGGUACUUCUGUGCCAUCCCACGGGAGCAGGAAAUGCAGAUGAGCUUUAACACAAACCCUCCGGGCUCUGGCAGAGGUUGUGUUAGAUGUGGGGAAGGUGAGAGUUCCCUGGGGCCGGGAGCUGAUGGGUCUUAAGGCUGUUUCCAACAAGCCAGGUGUCAUCACUGGCCUUUACUGCACACUGCCGGGAUUGUGAUUUAUUGGUAAUUUGAUUAGGAGUGGAAUUGUGAGUAAAUAAAAAACACCUUGCUCCCACUUUAUCCCUGUUUGCUCCCAGGCUCAUUCUCAAAGCAGCAUUCCUGAAUUCUCUGCCUCUUCUCUCCUAAUAGUAAAGGGAUAACAGGAAAUCAUGUGUGGGAUCAUUUCUUUGCAAUUAAUCACUGGCCUUCCUCUCUAGUGCUUCUUGUCCCCUUCCUGCCCCAGUCUGCAGUCAAAUGGCUGCACCAUGGCUCCUUCACAGGAGCUGCUGUCCUUCAGAAUCAGCCCUCUCCAGCCUCAGUUCUCCACAGGCUGCACUUCCCCAGUGUCAUCACCAAACAGUUUGUGAUUAUCUCCAAGCAUGGAGACUGCAGAAGGUGCCUGAGCAGCCUGUGCCAGUGGUUGGGC